rnacentral:rRNA from 1 species
UACGUAGGGGGCAAGCGUUGUCCGGAUUUAUUGGGCGUAAAGAGCGUGUAGGCGGCCUGACAGGUCUGCUGUGAAAACUCGAGGCUCAACCUCGAGACGUCGGCGGAAACCAUCUGGCUAGAGUCCGGAAGAGGAGAGUGGAAUUCCUGGUGUAGCGGUGAAAUGCGCAGAUAUCAGGAGGAACACCGGUGGCGAAGGCGGGUCUCUGGGCCGAUACUGACGCUGAGGAGCGAAAGCGUGGGGAGCGAACAGG